rnacentral:lncRNA from 1 species
CCUGGCACUUCUGCGCUGCUUUAAAGCGUAGGGAAAACAUACUUCGCAAGGGAUAAAAUGACAUUAUGAGUACGGCAAUGUUCUGUAAUGAAACAUCGAAGAUUUAUUCAGAAAUGCGGUAACACAAAGAAUGUUUAGGUACAGAAUGCAAACAUAACAUAGGACAAAAUUUACGCACUAUGCAAAUGAUAAAGAUGAUGUUAUUGCACUCGUAGACACCGUGAUGUUCCCGUAGAAACAACGAUCAGUCUACGAAGAGCUAAGGAAAUGAGAGGUAAGCAAUAGCACAAAAGCGUAAGGGAAAAAGAAUAAGGCACUCAAGAUUAAAAAAGAAA